GCAUCAUCAGAAAGGGAUAGUGGCUGCAGAACAUGUGAGAGGCCACUGACCCAUACAAAGAAAGGGGGGCUUCCUGGAAAAAGUGACAGGAGUGAGCCUAUCUGUAGGGAACCUGUCGCGCUCUGCCCCUCAGCACCGAACAUUUCACAGGGGCCCGUCCAGAGCUGCAAUGACUCAGAAAGGACCUCAUGGUUGGGCAGGCAAGAGCUCUAAAAUGCUGAGUUCAUUGGAAGAAGUAAGCACAGGACACUAUAGAAGCAUGGUGAAGAAGAUCUUAACCCAGUCUGGGGUAGAACAAGAUUAGGAAAACCUGCUGGAGGAGAUGCCUCAGAUGAGUCCAAAAAAAAAAAAAAAAUGGUGAAAGGGAUGUAGACAGAUAAGAGAGAGAAGAAGGCAUUAGAGGCAGAGCCUUAAGGCAGAGCCUAAGCAAAGAAGUGAGAACAGCAUAGCAGGUGUGGGAUGUGAAAAGUAAGCCCAUGUUGCUGAAGCAUGAAGUUCGUGCCAUGGAGGGGUGACAAUAUUUUCCAAACAAAAACUCAGGAUAUAUGGCUCCAAUGAAGUAGAAUGUUCCAAAUCAGGAAUGUCUCAGAAAAUACCAAGAAUGAUGUCACCAAUACAUUAGGUAAUUAAGGCACAAUCUACUACUUCUUCUACAUACUCCUGUCCCUACACACCCUUCAACUUCUUACUCAAAACGGCCAGAAAACAAAACUCACCAUACAAGAUUCUUAGAGACCCUCUCACAUUUACCCUAGUAGUAUUUAUAACUGUGGAAAAUAAAAAAUAAUCUAACC